rnacentral:rRNA from 1 species
AACGAACGCUGGCGGCAGGCCUAACACAUGCAAGUCGAGCGCCCCGCAAGGGGGGCGGCGGACGGGUGAGUAACGCGUGGGAACGUACCCUUUGCUACGGAAUAGCCUCGGGAAACUGGGAGUAAUACCGUAUGUGUCCUUCGGGAGAAAGAUUUAUCGGCAAGGGAUCGGCCCGCGUUGGAUUAGGUAGUUGGUGGGGUAAUGGCCUACCAAGCCGACGAUCCAUAGCUGGUUUGAGAGGAUGAUCAGCCACACUGGGACUGAGACACGGCCCAGACUCCUACGGGAGGCAGCAGUGGGGAAUCUUAGACAAUGGGCGCAAGCCUGAUCUAGCCAUGCCGCGUGAGCGAUGAAGGCCUUAGGGUUGUAAAGCUCUUUCAGGGGGGAAGAUAAUGACUGUACCCCCAGAAGAAGCCCCGGCUAACUCCGUG